rfam:Parabacteroides distasonis ATCC 8503, complete genome.
ACAACGAAGAGUUUGAUCCUGGCUCAGGAUGAACGCUAGCGACAGGCUUAACACAUGCAAGUCGAGGGGCAGCGGGGUGUAGCAAUACACCGCCGGCGACCGGCGCACGGGUGAGUAACGCGUAUGCAACUUGCCUAUCAGAGGGGGAUAACCCGGCGAAAGUCGGACUAAUACCGCAUGAAGCAGGGAUCCCGCAUGGGAAUAUUUGCUAAAGAUUCAUCGCUGAUAGAUAGGCAUGCGUUCCAUUAGGCAGUUGGCGGGGUAACGGCCCACCAAACCGACGAUGGAUAGGGGUUCUGAGAGGAAGGUCCCCCACAUUGGUACUGAGACACGGACCAAACUCCUACGGGAGGCAGCAGUGAGGAAUAUUGGUCAAUGGGCGUAAGCCUGAACCAGCCAAGUCGCGUGAGGGAUGAAGGUUCUAUGGAUCGUAAACCUCUUUUAUAAGGGAAUAAAGUGCGGGACGUGUCCCGUUUUGUAUGUACCUUAUGAAUAAGGAUCGGCUAACUCCGUGCCAGCAGCCGCGGUAAUACGGAGGAUCCGAGCGUUAUCCGGAUUUAUUGGGUUUAAAGGGUGCGUAGGCGGCCUUUUAAGUCAGCGGUGAAAGUCUGUGGCUCAACCAUAGAAUUGCCGUUGAAACUGGGGGGCUUGAGUAUGUUUGAGGCAGGCGGAAUGCGUGGUGUAGCGGUGAAAUGCAUAGAUAUCACGCAGAACCCCGAUUGCGAAGGCAGCCUGCCAAGCCAUUACUGACGCUGAUGCACGAAAGCGUGGGGAUCAAACAGGAUUAGAUACCCUGGUAGUCCACGCAGUAAACGAUGAUCACUAGCUGUUUGCGAUACACUGUAAGCGGCACAGCGAAAGCGUUAAGUGAUCCACCUGGGGAGUACGCCGGCAACGGUGAAACUCAAAGGAAUUGACGGGGGCCCGCACAAGCGGAGGAACAUGUGGUUUAAUUCGAUGAUACGCGAGGAACCUUACCCGGGUUUGAACGCAUUCGGACCGAGGUGGAAACACCUUUUCUAGCAAUAGCCGUUUGCGAGGUGCUGCAUGGUUGUCGUCAGCUCGUGCCGUGAGGUGUCGGCUUAAGUGCCAUAACGAGCGCAACCCUUGCCACUAGUUACUAACAGGUUAGGCUGAGGACUCUGGUGGGACUGCCAGCGUAAGCUGCGAGGAAGGCGGGGAUGACGUCAAAUCAGCACGGCCCUUACAUCCGGGGCGACACACGUGUUACAAUGGCGUGGACAAAGGGAGGCCACCUGGCGACAGGGAGCGAAUCCCCAAACCACGUCUCAGUUCGGAUCGGAGUCUGCAACCCGACUCCGUGAAGCUGGAUUCGCUAGUAAUCGCGCAUCAGCCAUGGCGCGGUGAAUACGUUCCCGGGCCUUGUACACACCGCCCGUCAAGCCAUGGGAGCCGGGGGUACCUGAAGUCCGUAACCGCGAGGAUCGGCCUAGGGUAAAACUGGUGACUGGGGCUAAGUCGUAACAAGGUAGCCGUACCGGAAGGUGCGGCUGGAACACCUCCUUU